rnacentral:rRNA from 1 species
UAUGAACGCUGGCGGCGUGCUUAACACAUGCAAGUCGAGCGAUGAAGUUUCCUUCGGGAAACGGAUUAGCGGCGGACGGGUGAGUAACACGUGGGUAACCUGCCUCAUAGAGUGGAAUAGCCUUCCGAAAGGAAGAUUAAUACCGCAUAAUGUUGAAAGAUGGCAUCAUCAUUCAACCAAAGGAGCAAUCCGCUAUGAGAUGGACCCGCGGCGCAUUAGCUAGUUGGUGGGGUAACGGCCUACCAAGGCGACGAUGCGUAGCCGACCUGAGAGGGUGAUCGGCCACAUUGGGACUGAGACACGGCCCAG